GAUGAACGCUGGCGGCGUGCCCAAUACAUGCAAGUCGAGCGAACAGACGAGGAGCUUGCUCCUCUGACGUUAGCGGCGGACGGGUGAGUAACACGUGGAUAACCUACCUAUAAGACUGGGAUAACUUCGGGAAACCGGAGCUAAUACCGGAUAAUAUAUUGAACCGCAUGGUUCAAUAGUGAAAGACGGUUUUGCUGUCACUUAUAGAUGGAUCCGCGCCGCAUUAGCUAGUUGGUAAGGUAACGGCUUACCAAGGCAACGAUGCGUAGCCGACCUGAGAGGGUGAUCGGCCACGCUGGAACUGAGACACGGUCCAGACUCCUACGGGAGGCAGCAGUAGGGAAUCUUCCGCAAUGGGCGAAAGCCUGACGGAGCAACGCCGCGUGAGUGAUGAAGGUCUUCGGAUCGUAAAACUCUGUUAUUAGGGAAGAACAAAUGUGUAAGUAACUAUGCACGUCUUGACGGUACCUAAUCAGAAAGCCACGGCUAACUACGUG
rnacentral:rRNA from 1 species